rnacentral:tRNA from 3 species
GGAGGCGUGCCAGAGCGGCCGAAUGGGGCUCACUGCUAAUGAGUUGUCCCCCUCAAAGGGGACCGGAGGUUCAAAUCCUCUCGCCUCCGCCG